AGUGAACGCUGGCGGUAGGCCUAACACAUGCAAGUCGAACGGCAGCACAGUAAGAGCUUGCUCUUACGGGUGGCGAGUGGCGGACGGGUGAGGAAUACAUCGGAAUCUACUUUUUCGUGGGGGAUAACGUAGGGAAACUUACGCUAAUACCGCAUACGACCUACGGGUGAAAGCAGGGGAUCUUCGGACCUUGCGCGAAUGAAUGAGCCGAUGUCGGUUUAGCUAGUUGGCGGGGUAAAGGCCCACCAAGGGGACGAUCCGUAGCUGGUCUGAGAGGAUGAUCGCCCACACUGGAACUGAACCACGGUCCAGACUCCUACGGGAGGCAGCAGUGGGGAAUAUUGGACAAUGGGCGCAAGCCUGAUCCAGCCAUCCCGCGUGGGUGAAGAAGGCCUUCGGGUUGUAAAGCCCUUUUGUUGGGAAAGAAAAGCAGCAGGUUAAUACCCCGCUGUUCUGACGGUACCCAAAGAAUAAGCACCGGCUAACUUCGUG
rnacentral:rRNA from 1 species